ACGUAGUUGGCCGGGGCUUCUUCUGGAGGUACCGUCAUUUUCGUCCCUCCUGAAAGGGGUUUACGACCCGAGAGCCUUCAUCCCCCACGCGGCGUUGCUGCGUCAGGCUUUCGCCCAUUGCGCAAGAUUCCCC
rnacentral:rRNA from 1 species